AAACUAACAAGGAUUCCCCUAGUAACGGCGAGUGAAGCGGGAAGAGCUCAAAUUUGAAAUCUGGCAGUCUUCGAUUGUCCGAGUUGUAAUCUAUAGAGGCGUUUUCCGUGCCGGACCGUGUCCAAGUCUCCUGGAAAGGAGUAUCAAAGAGGGUGAUAAUCCCGUACUUAACACGACCCCCGGUGCUCUGUGAUACGUCUUCUACGAGUCGAGUUGUUUGGGAAUGCAGCUCAAAAUGGGUGGUGAAUUCCAUCUAAAGCUAAAUAUUGGCGAGAGACCGAUAGCGAACAAGUACCGUGAGGGAAAGAUGAAAAGCACUUUGGAAAGAGAGUUAAACAGUACGUGAAAUUGUUGAAAGGGAAACGAUUGAAGUCAGUCGUGUUCCUUGGAUUCAGCCAGUUCUGCUGGUCUACUUCCUUGGAACGGGUCAACAUCAGUUUUGUCCGGUGGAUAAAGGUAGUAGGAAUGUGACUUCCCUCGGGAAGUGUUAUAGCCUAUUGCCACAUACACUGGGUGAGACUGAGGACUGCAGCUCGCCUUUAUGGCCG
rnacentral:rRNA from 1 species